rnacentral:rRNA from 1 species
AAUUUUGUACAAUGGGGGAAACCCUGAUCCAGCCAUCCCGCGCGUAUGAUGAAGGCCUUCGGGUUGUAAAGUACGUUUUGCAGAGAAGAAAAGGUAUCUCCUAAUACGAGUUACUGCUGACUAUAGCUGCAGAAUAAUCACCGUCUAACUACGUCCCUUCAUCAGCGGUAAUACGUAGGGCGCAAGCGUCAAUCGGAAUUACUGGUCGUAAAGCGUGUGUAGGCGGGUAGGACAGAAAGAUGUGAAAGCCCAGGGCUAAGACUUGGAAGUGCAUUUUUAACGGGCGAGGUAGAGUAUGUCAGAGGGGGAUAGAAUUCCACGUGUAGCAGUGAAAUGCGUAGAGAUGUGGAGGAAUACCGAUGGCGAAGGCAGCCCCCUGGGAUAAUACUGACGCUCAGACACGAAAGCGUGGGGAGCAAAAAG